rnacentral:misc_RNA from 1 species
AAGUCGUAACAAGGUUUCCGUAGGUGAACCUGCGGAUGGAUCAUUACUAAAGGACUAUUCCAACGUCCUGUGAACUGUUUAGACUCUGAGGUUCGGCGACCUAGUUGCCGGCCUUAACUUAAACGUAUACCCUAUAACUGAAAUCCCUAGUAAGAACUAAGAGAACUUUUAGCAACGGAUCUCUUGGCUCUC